UACGUAGGGUGCAAGCGUUGUCCGGAAUUAUUGGGCGUAAAGAGCUCGUAGGCGGUUUGUCGCGUCCGCUGUGAAAAUCCAGGGCUUAACCCUGGACCUGCAGUGGGUACGGGCAGACUAGAGUGCGGUAGGGGAGAUCGGAAUUCCUGGUGUAGCGGUGAAAUGCGCAGAUAUCAGGAGGAACACCGGUGGCGAAGGCGGAUCUCUGGGCCGAUACUGACGCUGAGGAGCGAAAGCGUGGGGAGCAAACAGG
rnacentral:rRNA from 1 species